GCUGGUAGUUAGGAAUUAAAAUUUACAUAGCAUAUAAUAUAUGUAUAUGUUUAGGAUGUGCUUGAGAUCUAAGUCCCUCAUUCAAAUUAUAUUAAGUCAUAAUGGUGAAGUGUUGAGAACACUAUCCAUGCCUUCUUUCAUGCUAAGACUUUAUUAUUUCUAGAACCAUAGUAGGCUUGUUGUACUAUCCAUCAGGCUUGCUAUCGG
rnacentral:lncRNA from 1 species